UACGAAGGGUGCAAGCGUUACUCGGAAUUACUGGGCGUAAAGCGUGCGUAGGUGGUUCGUUAAGUCUGAUGUGAAAGCCCUGGGCUCAACCUGGGAAUUGCAUUGGAUACUGGCGGGCUAGAGUACGGUAGAGGGUAGUGGAAUUCCUGGUGUAGCAGUGAAAUGCGUAGAGAUCAGGAGGAACAUCCGUGGCGAAGGCGACUACCUGGACCAGUACUGACACUGAGGCACGAAAGCGUGGGGAGCAAACAGG
rnacentral:rRNA from 1 species